rnacentral:rRNA from 1 species
UUACGGGAGGCAGCAGCUAAGAAUAUUCCGCAAUGGACGAAAGUCUGACGGAGCGACGCCGCGUGGAUGAAGAAGGCCGAAAGGUUGUAAAGUCCUUUUGUUGGGGAAGAAUAAGCGCGGGAGGGAAUGCCCGCGUGAUGACAUGAACCGACGAAUAAGCCCCGGCUAACUACGUGCCAGCAGCCGCGGUAACACGUAGGGGGCGAGCGUUGUUCGGAAUUACUGGGCGUAAAGGGCAUGUAGGCGGCCUUGUAAGCCUGGCGUGAAAGUCACCGGCUUAACCGGUGGAUUGCGUCGGGAACUGCAGGGCUUGAGUCACGGAGAGGGAGCUAGAAUUCCUGGUGUAGGGGUGAAAUCUGUAGAGAUCAGGAAGAAUACCAAUGGCGAAGGCAAGCUCCUGGCCGAUGACUGACGCUGAGGUGCGAAAGUGUGGGGAUCAAACAGGCUUAGAUACCCUGGUAGA